CCUCUACAAUUAGUACAACUGAUUGUGGUACUAAAGUAUUUUUCAAAUGGUUGACGAUGCGUCGGUUGAGUGCAAUUUGUGCAAAUUAAACAACAAAUAAAAACAAAAAUACGCCGAGUUAAACUAAUAACAACAUACAGUUACAAAGCUGAGACAUUGAUACCUCAGCAAUGUGAAAUGAGCAACCAGCAAUUAUUCCCAUUGAAAGUACAUCACUACUAAGGAAAAUGCUGUUAAAUACUAAAAAGGAUGAAGAAGAGCGGGUCAACAAACCUCUUCACGCUUGGCGACAAACUUGGAACCAUUGCGAAUUAGUCACGGAUGACGAAGCGGAAGAACACAUUAGUAAAAGUCAAUUAUCCGCAACUGUACGCAGUGAAAGGAAGCAAGGACGUGUAAUUAAUCCCAAAUGAGAGCAAUCCAUCUGCAUCGAGGCGCCCCAACCGAAGCAAAACAAAGCAAAAGCGGACUGCAGUCGACGGCGCACACAUUACAGGGUCUAAGAAAACGGCUACAUGGAAGAGGAUUCUAAAGAAAAUUUGAAAAGCCUUAACAAAAAAACAUCUUUAGGAUGCGUUUCAUCGUGUUCUCGGGGUUCUGCCAGAUUUACUUGAAAAUGUUUAAUUGCUUACGAGAACUAUUGAAGAUUUGGUCCUAGCAUCAAAAUCCAUGGAUUUUUCCAGAAUGAGACUUGGGACUGCAGUGGAACCGAAGGUCAGGGCUGGCCAAUCCCAGGCCCGCGGGCCACGAGGUGGCCCGCCAGGACAUCUGAAUUUGCCCGCCGCACAAACCAAAGUUGGAACUUUUGUAUAUGUAUAAUAUUUUAUGUAUGAAUGGCCAUAGUCUGUGGCCCGGUGCUGCCGCAUUCUAAAA